ensembl:snoRNA
GGCCUCCUAGUGCUUACCACAGGCUGUGUUCCUACACUGACUGUGUUGAAAGAGGAGACAGAGUAGACCUCUCCCGUAUGCACCUCAGCUCAGGCCUUGUGCCUCAUCUGUGUUGUGAAUGGAGGGACAUGG